ACGCUGGCGGCGUGCCUAAUACAUGCAAGUCGAGCGAACGGACGAGAAGCUUGCUUCUCUGAUGUUAGCGGCGGACGGGUGAGUAACACGUGGAUAACCUACCUAUAAGACUGGGAUAACUUCGGGAAACCGGAGCUAAUACCGGAUAAUAUUUUGAACCGCAUGGUUCAAAAGUGAAAGACGGUCUUGCUGUCACUUAUAGAUGGAUCCGCGCUGCAUUAGCUAGUUGGUAAGGUAACGGCUUACCAAGGCAACGAUGCAUAGCCGACCUGAGAGGGUGAUCGGCCACACUGGAACUGAGACACGGUCCAGACUCCUACGGGAGGCAGCAGUAGGGAAUCUUCCGCAAUGGGCGAAAGCCUGACGGAGCAACGCCGCGUGAGUGAUGAAGGUCUUCGGAUCGUAAAACUCUGUUAUUAGGGAAGAACAUAUGUGUAAGUAACUGUGCACAUCUUGACGGUACCUAAUCAGAAAGCCACGGCUAACUACGUGCCAGCAGCCGCGGUAAUACGUAGGUGGCAAGCGUUAUCCGGAAUUAUUGGGCGUAAAGCGCGCGUAGGCGGUUUUUUAAGUCUGAUGUGAAAGCCCACGGCUCAACCGUGGAGGGUCAUUGGAAACUGGAAAACUUGAGUGCAGAAGAGGAAAGUGGAAUUCCAUGUGUAGCGGUGAAAUGCGCAGAGAUAUGGAGGAACACCAGUGGCGAAGGCGACUUUCUGGUCUGUAACUGACGCUGAUGUGCGAAAGCG
rnacentral:rRNA from 1 species